GGCGGAAGACAACGUGGCAGAUUCAUUAAAUAUCAACGCCGAUAUAAACCAUAGCGAACGCGAGAAAUUGAAAAUCAUAUUUAACGAACAGUAUUUUCAACCGUCCCGUCCAACGGUGCCCCGCGUCAAUGCCGAGCUAAAAUUAACCCUAAACGACCAUAAACCCUUUCAUACCUCUCCUCGACGAAUUUCCUAUUCCGAGAAAGAACAACUUAGACAGAUAUUAGAUGGGUUGUUAAGCAAAGGUGUUAUUAGAACUAGCGAUUCCGAAUAUGCGUCGCCAAUCGUCUUAGUAAAGAAGAAAAACGGAGAACUCCGUAUGUGCGUGGAUUAUCGGAUUCUAAACAAGGCGAUUCGAAAAAAAAUAUUAUAGCUUGUUAGAUUUGAGAGACGGGUUCCAUCACAUCCGCAUAUCGGAAGAUUCAAUCAAGUACACUUCGUUUGUCACUCCCCUAGGUCAAUUUGAAUAUUUAAAGAUGCCUUUCGGUCUCAAAAGAUUCCAUCUCGAUUUCAAAAAUUUAUCAACGAAGUUUUCGCAGAUCUAAUUAAGUCAGGCGAUGUAGUUGUGUAUAUAGACGACAUAUUAAUAGCAACACGAACGUUAGAACAUCAUUUUCAAAUUCUCCGUCACGUUUUUACACUCCUAGUAGAAAAUAAGAUGGAGUUAAGAUUAGAUAAAUGCAAAUUCUUAUAUAAAGAAAUAGAGUACUUGGAAUAUUUCAUAACAGAGAAAGGUAUCAGCCCACCGAAAAGUGGGGUAGAGGCCGUUGAAAGAUUUCCGAUACCGCAAAAUACCCGUGACGUACAAAGCUUUUUAGGGCUCAGCUCGUACUUUCGUAAAUUACCACGGAGUUCGAAAGCAGGUACCACAGCUUUGAACUCGAGGUGUUAGCUAUAGUUUACGCAUUGAGACGUUUCCGGAUUUAUUUACAUGGUAUCAAAUUUAACAUUCUAACCGAUUGUCAUUCACUUCAAAUGACGUUGAACAAGAAGGAAAUAAACCCACGAAUCGCGAGAUGGGCAUUAGAGCUACAAAAUUAUGAUUACGAGAUAAUUCACAGACCAGGCACACGCAUGGCGCAUGCGGAUGCGCUGAGCAGAUCUACCAACGUCCUCGUGGUAGAAGGAAAUUCAUUCGAGUCAGAUUUAGCACUAAUGCAAAACCGAGACCCCAAGGAAUAGUGGAAGGAAUAUUACUGCGAAAUAGUCAAGGAAAGUUGGAAAAAAUCAGAAAUUCCAGAUGACUGGAAAUCAGGCAGAUUAUGCUUCAUAGACAAGGCAGGUAAAGCUGCAAUAAGACCUAUAACACUAACAUCUUGUUCAGGAAAAAGGUAAAAUCUCUAAAAUAAAAGAGAAGUUAGAAUCUAAAGAAGACGGAUUCUUCGAAAUGCGAGAUUGGAAAAAACGUACAAUUAAUAAAAAACUAUUCAACAGCAUUUAUGUGUCUUACAAUUAUGUGCAUUUACGAGACAUGGUUAAAUGAAUUUCCAAUAAAGAGUAUAAAGGGCUGCAAUAUCAAACAUUAUACGAUACCGAAUAUGGAAAGGAGGAGAUUCCACGGAACUCCAGGUACAGGGUUGGCAAUAAUUUACAGAGAUUCGCUAAAAAUUAGAUUCAAAAAAGAAAAAUUCCUUCUAUUUGAACUAGAGUAUAUGAGCUUCGAGAUUCUGGACAAAAAUAACUUUACGAUAAUACCCAUAACGCUAUUUUAUAGAAAUCCUAGGAAUUAUUUUAGUAGACAGGACUGGAAUAACCUAUUCAGAGACAUAGAUUUGACGGACGAGACAAUUUUAAUAGGAGACCUGAACACAAAAAAACACCCUUUGGAACUGUAAACAAUCUAAUCAAUCGGGCAAAGCCCUAGAAAAAGAACUAGACAAUUGGGAUCUUAUAAUACAUAACACGGACACGAUAACGAGACAUGACCCACGUACGGCAGAACCUAAUAUCGACUUAAUAAUAUCGCGUCCCCAUUUAGCGGAAUACAUCAAAUAUUCAGAAACAAACAUUUGUUUAGGAUCGAACCAUCAGAUACUGAACAUACAGAUUUAUUCAGACAAUGAUUUCGGUUUAGACAUAGCAAACACGAGCUCAAGGAUAAACAACAGACUGUAUAAUUCCAAAAAAGGAUUAGUCUGGAGAGGGUUCAGAGAAAAACUGGAAUCGAACAAAAGUAAGUUUAUCAACGAUUUCAAUUCAACAAACAACAUUAACGAUAAAUAUGUGAUCUGAAAAGAGACAAUAAUCGAAAUUUUGAACAGUAUAACAACAAAGGACAAGGACCAAUUAAGGAAAAAACAUAAAAAUGCCGAAAGACCACAAACAGUAAAAUACCACAGAAUUCAGGAACCAAACCAUAAUAAACACAAAAAGUCCUGGUGGGACGAAGAAUGCAGAGAACAUUGGGAAAACUGGAAGAAAAGUAUGAAGAAAGUAUGUAAGAUCGGUAAUACGAAGGACUUCAUAAUAAUGGAACACAACAGGAAAAAAAUGGAACGAAAUAAAACAAAAAAAGAAAGAUUCAGCCUGGUCAUCGCUCACAGAAGAGAUAGCAAAGGAAAGGGACUUAGGUAAGAUAUGGAGAAGAAUUAGAGGAAUCAAAGAAUGUUUCACCAAAGAAAAAUCACCCCUUAAUGAUAGUACGAGAAUGGAAUUGGAGGAAAUAGAAAUUUUCAAGUUGAAAAACAAAAAUCUGGCUAUUUCAGGUAUCGUAACGGACGAUUCGACAACGAACAACUGGAGUCAAGACAUCCAAACGAGCAUAUGGGAGAAAGACUUGGAAAAUUAUGAGAUUCUGAUGACAAUAAAUAGCACCAAAGGUAAAACGCCAGCCCCAGGGGACGACAGGAUCGAUUACAAAAUAAUGUACGAGUUACCAUCGUUCAUGAAGGAAUAUUACUGCGAAAUAGUCAAGGAAAGUUGGAAAAAAUCAGAAAUUCCAGAUGACUGGAAAUCAGGCAGAUUAUGCUUCAUAGACAAGGCAGGUAAAGCUGCAAUAAGACCUAUAACACUAACAUCUUGUUCAGGAAAAAUUCACUUUGGGCCGAAGAAAACAACAUAAUUAAAGAAACUCAGGCAGGAUUUAGAAAAAUAGAUCAACAAUCGACAACUUAAAUCAGGUGAUCACUCAUCCUGGAAAACAAGGGAUGCCCAAAUAGAAUACAUAAUUGGAUUAAGGAGUAAACGAAGCAGUUAAGAUAGAAGAGGUAAAAUUCGUAAAAUACGCUGACGACAUAGCAAUCAUAACACAAGGGAAAAAUUUAGAACAAACCACGAUUACAAUCGAAGAAGGAAUUUCGCAGUUAGGAGAUUUCCUGAGGGACAGAGAACUCGAGUUAUCUAUCGAAAAGACAAAAAUGUUGUUCUUUGGAUUACAAACACCACAGAACAACAUCACGCUAAGACUGAACGAAUAGCUAUCUCCGAUAGAAGUAGUUCAUUCGGCUAAAUUUCUAGGUAUUGGUAUCGACGACCGACCAAAUUUCAAUUCACAUUAUCAGGAACUCAUGAAAAAAGUAAAAAGAAGACUAAGCAUAGUGAAUUACCUUUGCCACGGUAACAAAGGGAUAAAACAAAACCAAGGGUUAAUGAUAGCCAGGGCAUUAAUCACAUCAGUAAUGGAAUACGGAGCUGCGAUAUACAUGAAUUCAACAAAACAGCAACACAUACAGGAGGAACUCAGGAAAUUAGAAUCGAAAGCGAUAAGAACAGCGAUGGGCUACAGGAUGUCCACCCCGUUGAAUGUCAUGUACCCAGAGGCAGGAUGGAUACGUCACAAAGACAGAGCUUUAUUUUUGGCGUGUAAAUACUGGAUUGGACAAUUAGAAAAAGGAAGGGAUUAGAAAAGACAACGUGAACACAGCGAAUAAUCUAUCGGAGGAGGCAUUCAAAAAGAUGUAUCGCUUCAAAGACAUGAUCUACGAGAGAGACUAAGGCACAAGAAAGGAUCGAAUACUGGAAAUGAUUUUUCAGCAUAGAACAACGAGAUACAAGAGACAAAGGAUUAAUCCUGGAUACAACGACAGGUAGACUAAUCGAAGAUAAACAUAUUCCAAUCGAAAUAACGGUAGAUUACUUUAAAUUCGUCCACGACAUAAAAAAUGAAACAGCUGUCUAUUUCACAGAUGGGAGCAAGAUACCCGAACAUACGUCAAACGGUAUAGGAAUAAUAACGAUGAACAACGAAUCGGUAGAGAUCGAAGGGAAAACGAUAAGUAACAAAUUUACAAUAUUUACAACCGAACUAAUAGGAAUAAACAUAGGUUUGAGAAAAUUCCUGAACAACGAACAAAGAGCAAACUGCCUCGUCCUGACAGAUUCAAUGUCGGCGAUAAAAGCAUUGAGAAACGUGGAUACCAAUUACAGAGAAUCAAGAGACAACCCAUAGAUCGUCGAAACAUGGAAACUGGGAAAGGAGGAUAGAACAGACAGAAGUUACAAAGUACCAGCGAAGGAAAUCGUCACGGAGCUCAGACACAAUUUUUGGAACAA